UACAGGAUAACAUUCAGCUUUGAGCUUUGAGCUCGUCCAGUUUUUCCCUGUUUGCACAAAAGUGGCUCUGUGAAUGAGACAGAGACGUCUAUCUUCUUUGCUAGCAUUUUAACCAGGGCAGCCUGUACUGAAGACUUAUACCGGGAAGCAGAGAUAUGUGGAAACUGGUGCUGGAAGGAUUUUAAACACCUCCAUAAACACAUCAAAUGAAAAAGAUGUCAAAAUAACUUGUACACAGUGGACUGCUGGAAAGAUGGAUGACCCAAGACAACCACAUCUGUUCAGGCUUCCUACCUUGAUGGGAGAUGAACUGAGUGAAUUAAUAGGCUGCUUUCCAUUUGUGACUUCUGAUUCCAUGAAUAACAUUUUUCUGUGAUGGAAAAAUAGAACAUCAAAAGAUGCCUAUGCAGCAAGCAAGAGGACAGAUCAGCGUAUCUGGUGGCAUCAUUACAUGAAGUACAGUAUGAAGAAAUUACUUGCAAAAUGUACGAGUUAAACUGAACAGAAAGGAUACGACCAACCUGACCCCAGCAAAAGCAUUAUCUUUGCUUUAAAGACAAACAAAGUUACAGGCUGGGGAUUGGUCUUAACUAUAGUCCACACACACCUUAACCUAUUAACAUAUUAUGGCUGUUUUACUCAGUCCAAUGGCCUGUCCCUGGGUCAGCAGAUUUUGAUCUCAUCAUAGUUUAAAAAGACUACUGUGUAGUGUCAAUGCAGAUGAAAAGUUAUCAAACUCUAUUAGCCUCCUAAUGCCUCACAGCUCCCACGUGUGUCCUACAGGACAGACAAUUCUCUUUUCAGUAUUAGCACAAAUGAAUUUCUAAUGUAUGUCAUCUUAUUGCAGCAAUAAAAAUGAUGAGGUGUCAGAAAAAGGUCUUAGAGCUGUAAGUGAACUACUGACACUAGUUUGGACUUUGUAGUUCAACUAUUAUUUUACUGUGAUGCAGAUAUUCUGACUAGAUUACCUUAAAUGUAGGCUAACAUAAGCCAAAUUGGCAGUGAGAGCACAACCUCAAAGAAAUAUUUUAAGAAGUGGGAAGCAUUCCCUAUGGGCUGAGCCUAAUUUGCUUCUGAUUUUCAUAUUAACCAAAGAAAAAAGAGAAAUCAGUUAUUAGCCUGCUCUGCAAUAAGUAAUUCAGCUCAAACCACUGGCUAUAAGGGAACAGAGCCAAGACCAGUCCAGUGCACGUGAUAAAUCAGGUUUGGGCAUCAAAGAAGAGAUUGAAGGAUACACCAAUUUGAUCUCCCAUCAGUGCACAGUGUCACUUGCAUUGUUAUCUAAACAGCCACUGAGGGAACCUGGUGGCCUGGAGUAAUGACCCUGACUGUACAGUCUAGACCUCUGGUAUGUCAUUCCUCUUUAGCAGCUGGAGAGCCCAAAGAAUUCAUCCUUAGUUUGUGCACCACUGCAGUUCACAGCUGUCAGACAAGAGCUGCAGAACAGGAUAUCUAGGGUUUGGGCAUCUGUUCUCCAUUCUUCAAGUGUGCCGGUCUUUGGAGCACAUGGCUUUGUAACUGGUUAGAGUGCUUGAGAUCCAGAUCAGAAACCAUCAGUGGUGGUAGUAGAUAAGUAUUACAUUGGAAACUCGGAAAUGUUAAACCUAGGCUGUAUCUGAUAGAGCAUCAAAGUAAAAGUGUGAAAAUGUUGCCUCUCGCUCCCCUGUUCAUGCAUGUGGUUUUAUGAAUCUAAGCCCAAACCCACAAAGGCCAGAAGCCCUUGGAAAAAAUGAAGAGUGGUUUCUGUUGGUCCAAAGAACACUUAGCUAGAAAUCCAGUGUUAAUAUUUAUAUUUCUCAGAAUCUCUCAAUGUGCUUCAUUCACUGGAAUAAAAGUUGUAUAUUUUUAUAAAAAAAAUCAAUAA